rnacentral:rRNA from 1 species
GACGAACGCUGGCGGCGCGCUUAACACAUGCAAGUCGAACGGAGUUUUGUCUGACACAAAACGUUUUCGACGGCAGCUUCCGAAACGCAAAGCGUUUCGGUACGCGAUAAUCAGAAGAUGAACAGCGGGAGAGAAGGAACGCAAUGAGAAACGAUUUGCGUUUCGGUACGCGUUAAUUGUAAGAUUAACAGCCGGGAGAACGGUUUGUGUCAGGCAAGGCUCAGUGGCGGACGGGUGAGUAACGCGUGAGCAACCUGCCUUACAGAGGGGGAUAACAUUGGGAAACCAGUGCUAAUACCGCAUGAGACCACGGCUUCGAGUGGAGCAGAGGUCAAAGGAGCAAUCCGCUGUAAGAGGGGCUCGCGUCCCAUUAGCUAGUUGGCGGGGUAAAUGCCCACCAAGGCGACGAUGGGUAGCCGGACUGAGAGGUUGGCCGGCCACACUGGAACUGAGACACGGUCCAGACUCCUACGGGAGGCAGCAGUGGGAAUAUUGGGCAAUGGGGAAACCUGA